GAUGAACGCUGGCGGCGUGCCUAAUACAUGCAAGUCGAGCGAACGGACGAGAAGCUUGCUUCUCUGAUGUUAGCGGCGGACGGGUGAGUAACACGUGGAUAACCUACCUAUAAGACUGGGAUAACUUCGGGAAACCGGAGCUAAUACCGGAUGAUAUUUUGAACCGCAUGGUUCAAAAGUGAAAGACGGUCUUGCUGUCACUUAUAGAUGGAUCCGCGCUGCAUUAGCUAGUUGGUAAGGUAACGGAUUACCAAGGCAACGAUGCAUAGCCGACCUGAGAGGGUGAUCGGCCACACUGGAACUGAGACACGGUCCAGACUCCUACGGGAGGCAGCAGUAGGGAAUCUUCCGCAAUGGGCGAAAGCCUGACGGAGCAACGCCGCGUGAGUGAUGAAGGUCUUCGGAUCGUAAAACUCUGUUAUUAGGGAAGAACAUAUGUGUAAGUAACUGCGCACAUCUUGACGGUACCUAAUCAGAAAGCCACGGCUAACUACGUG
rnacentral:rRNA from 1 species